CUACGGGACGCACCAGUGGGGAAUAUUGCACAAUGGAGGAAACUCUGAUGCAGCAACGCCGCGUGGAGGAUGACACUUUUCGGAGCGUAAACUCCUUUUAUAUAGGAAGAAGAUGACGGUACUAUAUGAAUAAGCGCCGGCUAACUCCGUGCCAGCAGCCGCGGUAAUACGGAGGGCGCAAGCGUUACUCGGAAUCACUGGGCGUAAAGAGCGUGUAGGCGGAUUAAAAAGUCAGAAGUGAAAUCCUAUAGCUUAACUAUAGAACUGCUUCUGAAACUCUUAAUCUAGAAUAUGGGAGAGGUAGAUGGAAUUUCUGGUGUAGGAGUAAAAUCCGUAGAGAUCAGAAGGAAUACCGAUUGCGAAGGCGAUCUACUAGAACAUUAUUGACGCCGAGACGCGAAAGCGUGGGGAGCAAACAGGAUUAGAUACCCGCGUAGUC
rnacentral:rRNA from 1 species